rnacentral:misc_RNA from 1 species
AAACUCCCCAUACACAUUAUAACAAACAGGGUGUCCCUCUUUAUCAUGACCAUCCAUAAACACUACUUUUUCAAGAUCAUCCCCAAGAUUUUCAUCUACUAGUUCUUCAAUAUUGAACUCCUUUCUCCAUAAAAUUGUGUUCUUUAACAUAGCAAAUGACUCCUUAACCUUGAAAUCUCUAGCUCUAAGAAACUUAAGCAGAAUAACAUCACUCCUAUCAUCUUUCAAUAAUGGUACACCCCAAAUAGAUACUUCUUGAGGCAAAUCUGUUGUUCCAGUAGUAAAGGUCUGAUCUUUAACAGCUUCUUGAACAAGAAAUUUAAAAUCUUCAAGUGCUUUUACCUCAGAAU